rnacentral:rRNA from 1 species
ACGCACGCUGGCGGCGUGCUUCACCCCUGCCAGUCGCACGGUAAGGCCCCUUCGGGGGUACCCGAGUGGCGAACGGGUGAGUAACACGUGAGCAACCUGCCCUUGACUCUGGAAUAACAGUUGGAAACAGCUGCUAAUACUGGAUAUUCAUCGUCUCCUUCCUGGGGGGUGGUGGAAAGCUCCGGCGGUCAGGGAUGGGCUCGCGGCCUAUCAGCUUGUUGGUGAGGUAAUGGCUCACCAAGGCUUCGACGGGUAGCCGGCCUGAGAGGGCGACCGGCCACACUGGGACUGAGAUACGGCCCAGACUCCUACGGGAGGCAGCAGUGGGGAAUAUUGCACAAUGGGCGCAAGCCUGAUGCAGCAACGCCGCGUGCGGGAUGACGGCCUUCGGGUUGUAAACCGCUUUCAGUAGGGACGAAGGGUGACUGACGGUACCUACAGAAGAAGGACCGGCUAACUACGUG